rnacentral:piRNA from 1 species
UGGGAACACAUGGGUCUUGCACGAGGUU